rnacentral:misc_RNA from 1 species
UCAAAUCCCUGUACCAAAUGAAUGACCUGCGAACACGUUCCGAAAACAAUAAGCGUUGUUGCGCCCUUGCUCGGUCGGUCACUUAAUUAUUUGUUGUUGCGGGACGCGUCGAGCAUGGAAAAACGAAAUCCGGCGCGGGAAGCGCCAAGGACUAGCAAAAUAGAGGAUGGCCUUCCCGCGGUGUAUCCUCGCCGCGGGGAUUAAAGGGUCUCCAAAAGAAAAUCAAUCUUAUACGACGACUCUCGGCAACGG